UUGACCUCAAAUCAGGCAGGAGUACCCGCUGAACUUAAGCAUAUCAAUAAGCGGAGGAAAAGAAACCAACAGGGAUUGCCUUAGUAACUGCGAGUGAAGCGGCAAGAGCUCAAAUUUGAAAUCUGGCACCUUCGGUGUCCGAGUUGUAAUUUGUAGAAGCAUCUUUUGGGCUGGUCCUUGCACAUGUUCCUUGGAACAGGACAUCAUAGAGGGUGAGAAUCCCGUACAUGGUGGGGAGUCCAGUCCUUUGUAAAGUGCUUUCGAAGAGUCGAGUUGUUUGGGAAUGCAGCUCUAAGUGGGUGGUAAAUUCCAUCUAAAGCUAAAUAUUGGCGAGAGACCGAUAGCGAACAAGUACAGUGAUGGAAAGAUGAAAAGAACUCCGAAAGGAGAGUGAAAAAGGACGUGAAAUUGUUGAAAGGGAAGUGCUUGAGAUCAGUCUUAGGAUUCAGUGAUCAAUCUUCCUUUUGGUUGGUGCACUCACUGUUUUCUAGGCCAACAUCAGUUUUCGCGGCAGGAUAAUGUCCCAGGAAUGUGGCUCCCUCGGGAGUGUUAUAGCCUGGGUUGAUACUGCCAGCUUAGACUGAGGUCUGCGCUUUUUGCUAGGAUGUUGGCAUAAUGAUCUUAAUCAGC
rnacentral:rRNA from 1 species